rnacentral:lncRNA from 1 species
AGAUUGGUUUGUGUUUUCUGCUAAUUGCAUAGGAUUCUGCACUCGUUAUCUUUGUUUUCUGCUUAUUAACGGAUUAAUUGAAUGUGAAUUUCAGGUUCCAAAUGGGAUAGGAGCCUUGCUGGGGAUUGUACAAUUACUGUUGUAUUCUUAUUACAGCAGAUCUUUAAGAGAAGAUAGUAGCGAGCCUCUGAUGUCGUCAUAUGCAUGACAGUACAAAACCCCGUAAGAAUCAAGUUUUAAAGUGCAUUCUUACAUAUGUAUUGUAAAUUUGUUAUUCUUUUAUAGCACUCUGUGAGGUAUUUUUUACAAGAAAUGUGGUCUUCAAAUGUAG